rnacentral:piRNA from 1 species
UACUGUACUGAAAGUGAACAUGGUUGUGU